rnacentral:rRNA from 1 species
AGUGAGCGCUGGCGGUAGGCCUAACACAUGCAAGUCGAACGGCAGCACAGGAGAGCUUGCUCUCUGGGUGGCGAGUGGCGGACGGGUGAGGAAUACAUCGGAAUCUACUCUGUCGUGGGGGAUAACGUAGGGAAACUUACGCUAAUACCGCAUACGACCUACGGGUGAAAGCAGGGGACCUUCGGGCCUUGCGCGAUUGAAUGAGCCGAUGUCGGAUUAGCUAGUUGGCGGGGUAAAGGCCCACCAAGGCGACGAUCCGUAGCUGGUCUGAGAGGAUGAUCAGCCACACUGGAACUGACACACGGUCCAGACUCCCACGGGAGGCAGCAGUGGGGCAUAUUGGACAAUGGGCGCAAGCCUGAUCCAGCCAUACCGCGUGGGUGAAGAAGGCCUUCGGGUUGUAAAGCCCGUUUGUUGGGAAAGAAAUCCAGCGGGCUAAUACCCGGUUGGGAUGACGGUACCCAAAGAAUAAGCACCGGCUAACUUCGUGCCAGCCGCCGCGGUAA